rnacentral:lncRNA from 14 species
CAGGUCUGGCUGUACUGCAGUGCCACCUUUCCCAAGUAGGACUUGCAUACUGCUGCCCUGGGGACAGUGUAAGCUGCUGGUGCACCCAUUUUCCCUCACUGCUGCUGGCCUCUCACCGCUGGCAACCCCUCCUUGCUGCCCACAGCCAGCAGGAUGCUGAGCUGGAUCGAGCGGGUGGUCCCCCAGCCACCAGCUGCUCAUCUAGUGGAGGAGAUCCCUCAGACCCCCGCUCCAGAGCAGGACCUGGAGCCACCUAAGGCACCAACAGGGAAGGCUGGUGCCCCCAGGGAUGCUGCUGACUGCAUAUGCACUGAAGGUAAGGCCCCAUGCAGGGGAACAUGCUGGUUUGGGCAGCGGAUCAGCAUUCUUUUGCUGGAUGGAUCCCUCCUGGCUGGCAUCCCAGCGGCUGUUGGAGUGGUGAUGACAGCUUUUGUUUUGUUUUUUUCCUGCUGCCGUUGAAGAAAUAAACAAGAAGGUGGGAUUUCCAGUCCCUGAGGACCAAGCCUCUGUAUUUGAGAGGUACUUCCGUUGCAUCCUCCAGUGUGCAGCAUGUCUUGCUUGGGAUUUUGCUUUCAGUUUUGGGGCUGGAUGCCUGGGAUGAAGGUUCCCAGCCUGACUUGCCCCUUCCCUGGCAGCAUGGGGAGCAGUGUGCUCUCCUGGCUCUCCCAGGGACUGGAGAAGGUGAUUCCCCAGCCAGUCCCAGCCCCAGGGACACUGCAGGCACUUGGGAAGAGCUUCGAGACAAGCAUUGAUGUUCCUGAUCAGACAGAGGUUCAGAUCCUCAAGGACGAGGAAGAGGAAGCUCUGGGUAAGGAGAGUCAGGAGUCUGCAGUUUGCAGCAUCCCAGAGAUAAUCCCCUUCGAUCUGGAAGAUGACAAGCUGGACAACUGUGAGCCUGAGCCUGGCUUGAGUAGUGCCACCAAGGAGUGGGCAGGAGUGCGGAUGCUCAACUGGCUGGUGCAGGGCUUCGAGAGGAUGGUGCCACAACCAGAGGUGCUGAAGAAGCUGGAGGUGAGCACUGCACAGUGCAGGAGGCUGCAGGGCUGCUGGGCAGGUGUGACAGUGGAGUGGGCUCCUUGUCUUCAUCCCAUAUGCCCUGGAUGGGACCUUGGAGAAGAAAACCCAUGGGGAAUUGAGCAGAGCAAAAAAGAGGCCUUGGGGUGCAUCCUGCUGCUCCUCAGUCUGACUGCAUCCAGGGAGAAGCUUUGUUUGGGACCUGCUGGUACCAGUAAUCAGGUGUCUGAGCUUAAUGGUUCUUGUCAAAGAAAUGGGUCCAAAACGGCAGUGGAGGGUGUGUGGGUUUGUGCCCAUGGGUCUCCUUGGGGUAGGGGACGUGUCCACUCAGGGUGAUGUGGGGCCACAUCCAGUGCUUUGCCUUGUCCAUUGGUCCCUCUGUCCCUCUACAGCCGGAGCUGAAGGAGCAGAAGUGUGAAGCAGCAGAGGGAGGUGAGUUCCCUGGGUGCCCUUUCAGAGGAUACACUGGAAUCUGGGUGUAGGCAGGCAUUGGCCCUGGGGCUGCCC